rnacentral:rRNA from 1 species
AUUGAACGCUGGCGGCAGGCUUAACACAUGCAAGUCGAGCGGGGGAAGGUAGCUUGCUACCGGACCUAGCGGCGGACGGGUGAGUAAUGCUUAGGAAUCUGCCUAUUAGUGGGGGACAACAUCUCGAAAGGGAUGCUAGUACCGCAUACGUCCUACGGGAGAAAGCAGGGGAUCUUCGGACCUUGCGCUAAUAGAUGAGCCUAAGUCGGAUUAGCUAGUUGGUGGGGUAAAGGCCUACCAAGGCGACGAUCUGUAGCGGGUCUGAGAGGAUGAUCCGCCACACUGGGACUGAGACACGGCCCAGACUCCUACGGGAGGCAGCAGUGGGGAAUAUUGGACAAUGGGCGCAAGCCUGAUCCAGCCAUGCCGCGUGUGUGAAGAAGGCCUUAUGGUUGUAAAGCACUUUAAGCGAGGAGGAGGCUACUUUAGUUAAUACCUAGGGAUAGUGGACGUUACUCGCAGAAUAAGCACCGGCUAACUCUGUGCCAGCCGCCGCGGUAA